rnacentral:rRNA from 1 species
AGUCGAACGGAUCCUUCGGGAUUAGUGGCAGACGGGUGAGUAACGCGUGGGAAGCUACCUUGUGGUAGGGGACAACAGUUGGAAACGACUGCUAAUACCCUAUGAGCCCUAUGGGGGAAAGAUUUAUCGCCAUGAGAUGUGCCCGCGUUAGAUUAGCUAGUUGGUAAGGUAAUGGCUUACCAAGGCGACGAUCUAUAGCUGGUCUGAGAGGAUGAUCAGCCACACUGGGACUGAGACACGGCCCAGACUCCUACGGGAGGCAGCAGUGGGGAAUAUUGGACAAUGGGGGCAACCCUGAUCCAGCCAUGCCGCGUGUGUGAUGACGGCCUUAGGGUUGUAAAGCACUUUCAGCAGUGAAGAUAAUGACAUUAACUGCAGAAGAAGCCCCGGCUAACUUCGUGCCAGCAGCCGCGGUAAUACGAAGGGGGCUAGCGUUGUUCGGAAUCACUGGGCGUAAAGAGUACGUAGGCGGACUGAUAAGUUAGGGGUGAAAUCCCAAGGCUCAACCUUGGAACUGCCUUUGAUACUGUCAGUCUUGAGAUCGAGAGAGGUGAGUGGAACUCCGAGUGUAGAGGUGAAAUUCGUAGAUAUUCGGAAGAACACCAGUGGCGAAGGCGGCUCACUGGCUCGAUACUGAC